rnacentral:lncRNA from 10 species
GAUCCUGGAGAGUUUGAAUUAAUACAGUAAAUACAGAAUUUGCUCACUGUUUAGUUGAUACUGACCUAUCAGAGGUGGGGAAAAAAGGAAGUAAUAUAACCUGACCUGCAUUUUAGGAAGAUCAUGCGGUUUCUGGGAAGCACUGGAGAAGGAAAAGGCUGAAGAAAGGAAGACCGGAAAAGAAAUACAAGUCCUUCCGCCUUGGCAAAGAUGAUAGUACCGUUCCCUUCAGUGUUCCGGUUCUGCUCUAUUGGAUAAGUUCCGGUUUGACUAUGACUACGUGAAAAUGUGGAACCAGACCUUCACCCCACAUUCCAGCUCCAGCUCUACCACAGAGGAAGUGCAAUAUCACCUUAGUUAUUCAACACAUUAUGCUCCUCGUGAUACAACCAGAGUUCACAUCAGCAAUCUUGGCAGCUCUCACCACGCUGCUGACUCACGACUCUCUCAUGUCCCAAUUUCCUGUCCAUUGUUC